rnacentral:rRNA from 1 species
UGAGGAAUAUUGGUCAAUGGACGCAAGUCUGAACCAGCCAAGUAGCGUGCAGGAUGACGGCCCUAUGGGUUGUAAACUGCUUUUAUAUGGGGAUAAAGUGGGGAACGUGUUCCCUUUUGCAGGUACAACAUGAAUAAGGACAGGCUAAUUCCGUGCCAGCAGCCGCGGUAAUACGGAAGGUUCGGGCGUUAUCCGGAUAUAUUGGGUUUAAAGGGAGCGUAGGCCGUUUGGUAAGCGUGUUGUGAAAUGUAGGAGCUCAACUUCUAGAUUACAGCGCGAACUGUCAGACUUGAGUGCGCACAACGUAGGCGGAAUUCAUGGUGUAGCGGUGAAAUGCUUAGAUAUCAUGAAGAACUCCGAUUGCGAAGGCAGCUUACGGGAGCGCAACUGACGCUGAAGCUCGAAGGUGCGGGUAUCGAACAGG